rnacentral:rRNA from 1 species
UACAGGGGGGGCAAGCGUUGUUCGGAAUUACUGGGCGUAAAGGGCUCGUAGGUGGCCUACUAAGUCAGACGUGAAAUCCCUCAGCUUAACUGGGGAACUGCGUCUGAUACUGGAUGGCUUGAGUUUGGGAGAGGGAUGCGGAAUUCCAGGUGUAGCGGUGAAAUGCGUAGAUACCAGGAGGAACACCGGUGGCGAAGGCGGCUUCCUGGCCGAGUACUGACGCUGAGGCACGAAAGCGUGGGGAGCGAACGGG